CGCUAAUAUCGUAUCUAUUUGACAAAGGCUCCAAAGGAAGCCACGGCUAACUCUGUGCCAGCAGCCGCGGUAAUACAGAGGUGGCAAGCGUUGUUCGGAAUUAUUGGGCGUAAAGAGCACGUAGGUGGAUUUGUAAGUCAGAUGUGAAAGCCUUCUGUUCAACGGAAGAAUCGCAUCUGAAACUACAAACCUUGAGUAUAGGAGGGGAGAGUGGAAC
rnacentral:rRNA from 1 species